AGUGAACGCUGGCGGUAGGCCUAACACAUGCAAGUCGAACGGCAGCACAGUAAGAGCUUGCUCUUACGGGUGGCGAGUGGCGGACGGGUGAGGAAUACAUCGGAAUCUACUUUUUCGUGGGGGAUAACGUAGGGGAAACUUACGCUAAUACCGCAUACGACCUACGGGUGAAAGCAGGGGAUCUUCGGACCUUGCGCGAUUGAAUGAGCCGAUGUCGGAUUAGCUAGUUGGCGGGGUAAAGGCCCACCAAGGCGACAAUCCGUAGCUGGUCUGAGAGGAUGAUCAGCCACACUGGAACUGAGACACGGUCCAGACUCCUACGGGAGGCAGCAGUGGGGAAUAUUGGACAAUGGGCGCAAGCCUGAUCCAGCCAUACCGCGUGGGUGAAGAAGGCCUUCGGGUUGUAAAGCCCUUUUGUUGGGAAAGAAAAGCAGCAGGUUAAUACCCCGCUGUUCUGACGGUACCCAAAGAAUAAGCACCGGCUAACUUCGUG
rnacentral:rRNA from 1 species